GAGCUGCUCCAGUGCGUUUUGGUAAUAAGGUUUGGAUAAACGGAACCCUUGAUACGAGUCAGGAACAACGAUGGUUUCAUAAUCUGUGGCUUUAAGUAGUUCCAGUUCCGGUUCGCUUUCAGCAGUGUGAUCGUGACCUGAAAUCGAUUAUCCAUCUAAAGAAAUCGGGGGAUACGUACUCAUACUUCGCUUUUUCACCAAUUCUAUGGCUGAUGCAACGGAAGUGUCCGCCAUGGUCGAUAGAAGCUUUUUGUUGCUCAGAACUUCGUUAAAAAAAUUUUGUAGCUGCAAAAGUAAAUGUCGGCUAAAACUUACUAGACCGAAUUGCGAAACGCAUACCUUUAAGUGAUCCUGCUCAUUAGCAUAUUCCAUUUUCUGCAAAAGCAAAUACGCAGCUAAACAGUUGGUCUUUUGCUUGCAAAAUUGGCCAUCUGCAGCAUAUUCCCGAUUAAUGGUGUAUAUGUUAAUGUUUUUCGUUCAGUGAUGUUGGAAAUGGUCGUACGUCCCGUAGAUUUGUUCAAAUAAACUACGCAACUGCUU